rnacentral:lncRNA from 1 species
AGACCUCUGCACUCUUCUUAACUAGAGUACUCUCACGAACCUCUCUGGACCUACGCUUCCUGAGGACAUAGUCACAAGGUCUUGCUAACAAGGCUCUUGUAAAGGCUGCAUGAGACAGUAAGGGAAGCCUUAGCACAAGGCCUGGUGUAGCAGACAGGAGUGACUGUUAGAUUUACUGUGUCCACACUUUGUAUCCCAUGGCCCUUUGGAAGCCCUUGAAAGUCAUUAUUUUGCUAUACUUAACUCCAGACUACGGAACCACACAAUGCAUUAUCUUACAAGGUUUUUGAAGAUUCAACAAAGUAACUGUUGUGAAAUGCUACUAACUGCUAGCAUAGUUCUCAUUGGUAAGACUUAACCUGGCAAAAGCGACUUAAGGAAGGAAGGUUGUAUUUGGGUCUGUCCUAACAGGGAAAGUGUGGCAGAAGGCGGGUGGGGGAACAUGAGAUACUUGCUGGAGAGCUGCUGCUCAGCUCACCUCUCCUCUCUCACACAGGGACCCCAGCCGAGGAGAUGGUGCUGCACACAUUUGGGGUGGGCCUGCCUUGCUCAGUUAAAUCAUCCUGGAAGCAUCCUGAUAGACCCAACCACAAGUGUGUCUCCUUGGUGGUUCUAAAUCCAGUCACGUUAAUAAGGAACAUUAAACAUCACAGCCAGGUGUAUGUGUUUAUAAGACAUUAAUGGAAUAUGCAAAGCAACUGAAAGCCUUUCCUAUUUGACAGUGAGUCCAGUAACUUGAAAGAAGCUGAGCUCCUUGCCUGAGGUGGUUCAUCUACUAAAAUGCAAGGCAGUGUUCAGUGUGUGUCCAGAUCCAUUUUUAGGGCCACUACAUCUUAAAGCUUGAUUUAAAGGACAUAUGCAAUCCUGUCAUCAUCAUUUUUCGUUGGGGCUGUUGAGGGUAGAAAGCCAUCUAUCUUUCCUAGAUGCAUAUAAUAGCUUUUAUAGAUGCACAGUCAUGGCCGGCAUAAAUUUUGUGUGUUUUUUUUUAAGUAUUAUAUCAUUUUCCAUUUUCCUUUAUCAUCAUCAUGUUAAAUUUUAAUGGGUAUGUAAAAGUACUUCAGAUUGAUUUCCUUUGCUUUUAUCCUGCAACUGAGUAUUCGUCUAUUUCCUGACAUGCAUCAUUGCAUAGUACACAAUGUUUCUGUAAGCAUGCGCCCAAAUCCAGCAGUCUCUGCUCUUGAUUUAUUUCCUUAGAUAAGUCUUCAGAAGUGGGAUCACUGACUCGAUGGUCUUGAACAGUUUUAUUGUUUCUGACAUUCACUGCCUAGAGCCUCCCACUACUGUGGAGACCGCCAGUCUCAACACGGGUCUAAAAAUGAGUAUUUUAGGUUUUAAAAACUUUCUCAGAUUUAAUGGUAAAUACAGAUGAUACCUCAAGGCCGUUUUCGCUCUGCAUGCUUUGAUUGCCAACUCUUUGAAAUAUGUUUUCACCUAAUUUAAUAACCCCCUGUCUUUUCUUCCUGAUUUCAUUUUUCUCAUUCAAUUAGUAAAUGUGUCUUGAGUAUCUACUCUUUGCCAGACUUAUGCUUUAGAGAUAGAAAGGAAAUGAAAGACACACGAUUUUAUAGUUUGCUAGUGAAGGUGUGUGAAUGGGUACACAGCUUCCGUCCCUAAGAAGUGCCCACAUGUGAUCUGCAUGAGACACCAGAGGCAGGAGCAACAAGUGCUUGUUAGGAAAAAUGACUACAGAGUUAGUUUCAAAAACAUUAUCGAUGCUACACAUGAACAUACAUAUGUAUGAGUGUUUUUAAUAGCUAUGUGUUAGAAAUAUGUAAUGAUUACUCAUUAUUGUGGUAUGAUGGCAUGACAAGAGAAAUGCUGUCCAAAGAUCGGUACACCUGUGAAGGAGGAGAUGGAAGGAGGUCACAGCCCUGGAAAGGAGAACGAAAGGUUCAAGUGGGGGAGGGGAGCACUGGAAGAUGGUGGCAGGAGGAAGGUCACAGAAAAGAGUUAAGGACCUUGGGGGACAUUUGCUAAAUUGGGCUUCUCCUGGAAGUCCUCAGUAAACUUGGCAGAAGCAGUCACUGGGCUUUGUCAAAACUAAAGUCAGCCUUAUGUCCUUUUAUCUCUAAUGCCCCUAGAAAGGUAGCAUAGCAGAGAAUCAGUUCGCAUGUCAAGGUCAAAGAGACUCUAUUCAAAUAUGACUUUGCAGCCUACCAGCUAGGUGACCCUGUGCAAUGCUAAUGACAUCAUAAGAUUUACAGCACCUAUACCUUCACCUUCAUAUCUUACAGAGCUGUUAGUAUUGAGUGAUCAGAUAGAAGAUGUUUUAAUGCAGUGCCUAGCACAUAUGGAUUCUUUGUCAAUAGUAGCUGCAGUAAUGGUUAUUGUUCCUUUAAAUAGAAUGUAAAGAGAAUAUGCAUUCGCUGUAUAUUGCUCAGUAGUAGAGCAUUUUUCUAACAUGAAUGAGACCCAGAGUCCCAUCCCUAGCAACCAUGUAAGUAAAGGAAUGUAUACGUACAUAGAUAGAAUAGUGAUUUUUUUUUUUAAAGAAAUCAUACAUACCCCAUUCUUCUGGUCGCAGCUAGUUAUCAAGGCAGGGAGGUAAAGCAAUUAAGGACUGGGCUAUAAUCCCGGGCCAUUGGUAAAUAGCUUGAUUGCUCUGAACCUUAGUUUGCACAUAUGCAAAAAUGAAGACAAUAAUACCCCUCCCCCCACAUCGAUUCAUUUUGAAGUUUAAAGCAAGAUGGUGUCGGCCAUAUCAUAAGUGCUGAGUCAUGGGUGACUGCAUUUGUGACAGUGUUACAAUUUUGACAGGGAUGAAGAAGAUGAUGAUGUUUAGAAUGGUGGAGCUGGUGAUGAUAAACACCUCUGGAUAAAGUAACUUCAGUCCACUUUCAGCAUAAGACUAAUUCUACGACUUUGGUCUUUCAAAUCCCUCUGUUAGCCGUUAGUAGCAUCACAAACUUACACUUGGCGCUGUUAAUUUUCUUUUUUUCUUUCUUUCUUUGUGAGUUUCACAUCCUCUCCCCCCUCUGCUGUUGCAUUUUCCACCCACUAAAAUUAAAAUAACGCACAG